GAGUCUGCGUCCCAUUAGCUAGUUGGUAGGGUAAUGGCCUACCAAGGCAUCGAUGGGUAGCCGGUCUGAGAGGAUGACCGGCCACACUGGGACUGGAACACGGCCCAGACUCCUACGGGAGGCAGCAGUGGGGAAUAUUGCGCAAUGGGCGAAAGCCUGACGCAGCGACGCCGCGUGGGGGAUGAAGGCCUUCGGGUCGUAAACCUCUGUCAGGGGGGAAGAAGUGUGCUUGUGCUAAUCAGCAGGCAUUUGACGGUACCCCCAAAGGAAGCACCGGCCAACUCCGUGCCAGCAGCCGCGGUAAUACGGAGGGUGCGAGCGUUAAUCGGAAUUACUGGGCGUAAAGAGUUCGUAGGCUGUUUGGUAAGUUAGGGGUGAAAUCCCGCAGCUCAACUGCGGAACUGCCUUUAAAACUGCUGGACUUGAGUGCGAGAGAGGGUGGCAGAAUUCCUGGUGUAGGAGUGAAAUCCGUAGAUAUCAGGAGGAAUACCGGUGGCGAAGGCGGCCACCUGGCUCGUAACUGACGCUGAGGAACGAAAGCGUGGGGAGCAAACAGGAUUAGAUACCCUGGUAGUCCACGCUGUAAACGAUGAACACUAGAUGCCGGAG
rnacentral:rRNA from 1 species